rnacentral:rRNA from 1 species
GGGGAAUUUUGGACAAUGGGCGCAAGCCUGAUCCAGCAAUGCCGCGUGCAGGAUGAAGGCCUUCGGGUUGUAAACUGCUUUUGUACGGAACGAAAAGGCUCUGGUUAAUACCUGGGGCCCAUGACGGUACCGUAAGAAUAAGCACCGGCUAACUACGUGCCAGCAGCCGCGGUAAUACGUAGGGUGCGAGCGUUAAUCGGAAUUACUGGGCGUAAAACGUGCGCAGGCGGUAAUGCAAGACAGAUGUGAAAUCCCCGGGCUUAACCUGGGAACUGCAUUUGUGACUGCAUUGCUGGAGUGCGGCAGAGGGGGAUGGAAUUCCGCGUGUAGCAGUGAAAUGCGUAGAUAUGCGGAGGAACACCGAUGGCGAAGGCAAUCCCCUGGGCCUGCACUGACGCUCAUGCACGAAAGCGUGGGGAGCAAACAGG